rnacentral:piRNA from 1 species
UGUACAAGUAGAUGGGUAACAUGCUGGUC